GGGCGUGUGGUCUAGUGGUAUGAUUCUCGCUUUGGGUGCGAGAGGCCCUGGGUUCAUUCCCAGCUCGUCCC
rnacentral:tRNA from 1 species